GUCUACGGCCAUACCACCCUGAACGCGCCCGAUCUCGUCUGAUCUCGGAAGAUAAGCAGGGUCGGGCCUGGUUAGUACUUGGAAGGGAGAGAUAAAGUGGUGAUGACC
rnacentral:rRNA from 1 species